AUGCUCAGUGGCAGAGCAAGUGCCUUUCAUGCAGCAGGUCUUGGGUUCAAUCUCCAGCAUAUAUA